rnacentral:rRNA from 1 species
AGUAAAUAGAUACCCAGGUAGUCCACGCCGUAAACGAUGUCGACUUGGAGGUUGUGCCCUUGAGGCGUGGCUUCCGGAGCUAAACGCGUUAAGUCGACCGCCUGGGGAGUACGGCCGCAAGGUUAAAACUCAAAUGAAUUGACGGGGGCCCGCACAAGCGGUGGAGCAUGUGGUUUAAUUCGAUGCAACGCGAAGAACCUUACCUACUCUUGACAUCCAGAGAACUUAGCAGAGAUGCUUUGGUGCCUUCGGGAACUCUGAGACAGGUGCUGCAUGGCUGUCGUCAGCUCGUGUUGUGAAAUGUUGGGUUAAGUCCCGCAACGAGCGCAACCCUUAUCCUUUGUUGCCAGCGGUUAGGCCGGGAACUCAAAGGAGACUGCCAGUGAUAAACUGGAGGAAGGUGGGGAUGACGUCAAGUCAUCAUGGCCCUUACGAGUAGGGCUACACACGUGCUACAAUGGCGCAUACAAAGAGAAGCGAUCUCGCGAGAGCAAGCGGACCUCAUAAAGUGCGUCGUAGUCCGGAUUGGA